AUUGAACGCUGGCGGCAUGCUUUACACAUGCCAGUCGAACGGCAGCGCGGGCUUCGGCCUGGCGGCGAGUGGCGAACGGGUGAGUAAUACAUCGGAACGUGCCCAGUAGUGGGGGAUAGCUCGGCGAAAGCCGGAUUAAUACCGCAUACGGCCUGAGGGUGAAAGCGGGGGAUCUUCGGACCUCGCGCUAUUGGAGCGGCCGAUGGCAGAUUAGCUAGUUGGUGGGGUAAAGGCCUACCAAGGCGACGAUCUGUAGCUGGUCUGAGAGGACGACCAGCCACACUGGGACUGAGACACGGCCCAGACUCCUACGGGAGGCAGCAGUGGGGAAUUUUGGACAAUGGGCGAAAGCCUGAUCCAGCAAUGCCGCGUGUGUGAUGAUGGCCUUCGGGUUGUAAAGCACUUUUGGCGGGAACGAAAAGGACUGUGCCAAUACCACGGUUCGAUGACGGUACCCGCAGAAUAAGCACCAGCUAACUACGUG
rnacentral:rRNA from 1 species